AAUCCAUAGGUUAAUGAGGCGAACCGGGGGAACUGAAACAUCUAAGUACCCCGAGGAAAAGAAAUCAACCGAGAUUCCCCCAGUAGCGGCGAGCGAACGGGGAGGAGCCCAGAGCCUGAAUCAGCAUGUGUGUUAGUGGAAGCGUCUGGAAAGGCGCGCGAUACAGGGUGACAGCCCCGUACACAAAAGCGCAUGUGCUGUGAGCUCGAUGAGUAGGGCGGGACACGUGGUAUCCUGUCUGAAUAUGGGGGGACCAUCCUCCAAGGCUAAAUACUCCUGACUGACCGAUAGUGAACCAGUACCGUGAGGGAAAGGCGAAAAGAACCCCGGCGAGGGGAGUGAAAAAGAACCUGAAACCGUGUACGUACAAGCAGUGGGAGCCCCACCACCAAAGCAUUUGCUGUACCGCGUUGACGGAGCGAAGCGACGUCAAACCGAUAAAACAGCAGUGUAAAGUGAGCCGCAGGGCGCUUUGCGCGACAGCGCAAAGGCAGGCGGUUUCGCGUAGCGAAAGCGAAUGCUUUGGGGUGGGGUGACUGCGUACCUUUUGUAUAAUGGGUCAGCGACUUAUAUUCUGUAGCAAGGUUAACCGAAUAGGGGAGCCGGAGGGAAACCGAGUCUUAAUUGGGCGUUAAGUUGCAGGGUAUAGACCCGAAACCCGGUGAUCUAGCCAUGGGCAGGUUGAAGGUUGGGUAACACUAACUGGAGGACCGAACCGACUAAUGUUGAAAAAUUAGCGGAUGACCUGUGGCUGGGGGUGAAAGGCCAAUCAAACCGGGAGAUAGCUGGUUCUCCCCGAAAGCUAUUUAGGUAGCGCCUCGUGAAUUCAUCUCCGGGGGUAGAGCACUGUUUCGGCUAGGGGGCCAUCCCGGCUUACCAACCCGAUGCAAACUGCGAAUACCGGAGAAUGUUAUCACGGGAGACACACGGCGGGUGCUAACGUCCGUCGUGAAGAGGGAAACAACCCAGACCGCCAGCUAAGGUCCCAAAGUCAUGGUUAAGUGGGAAACGAUGUGGGAAGGCCCAGACAGCCAGGAUGUUGGCUUAGAAGCAGCCAUCAUUUAAAGAAAGCGUAAUAGCUCACUGGUCGAGUCGGCCUGCGCGGAAGAUGUAACGGGGCUAAACCAUGCACCGAAGCUGCGGCAGCGACACUGUGUGUUGUUGGGUAGGGGAGCGUUCUGUAAGCCUGCGAAGGUGGCCUGUGAGGG
rnacentral:rRNA from 1 species